rnacentral:lncRNA from 1 species
UUUUUUUUUUUUUUAUGCUUUUCAGAGCUGCCCCAGUGGUAUAUGGAGGUUCCCAGGCUAGGGGUUGAAUUAGAGCUGUAGCCAUCGGCCUUUGCCACAGCCACAGCCACAUCAGAUCCAAACUGCACCUGCAACCUACACCACAGCUCACAGCAAUGCCAGGUCUUUAACCCACUGAGCGAGGCCAGGGAUGGAAUCUCCGUCCUCAUGGAUGCUAGUCAGAUUCGUUUCCACUGAGCCAUGACAAGAACUCCAAGGCUCACUUCCUUACCAAUAAAAUAAGAAGGAUGACAACACUUCCAGGGUUGCUGCCCUCAAUCUUUCUCCACAGCAGCCAGAGUGACCUUUUCAAAAUGUAAAAUUGACCAUGUUAUCUAAUUUCAACUCAAAAUGAAAUCCCAUUGUUCUUAAGAUAUAAAUGGACUCCCAACACGACUUUCAAAGACUCUCAUGGGCUGGCCCCUUGUUUCCUCCCAGGCUGCAUCUCAAACUCUGCUUCCUCUUGCCCCAAAACACUUGCCUAAGUCUCUCAUUAUAGGACUUUUGCAAUAUCAUAUUCUUUGUCCAGAAAAUUCUGCCUUUCUUACCCCCUCUACUGCUCCCUAUCUGACUUAGCUUAAUUGACUCCACUUAUCUUUUUUAGAUCUUAUUUCAAAGGACACUUUCGCUGGGUACAUAACUCCCUAUACUAAGUCAAGUCCCUCUAACACAUUUUUAGUACAUCACAAGUUUUCCCGUUAUAGCAUACACGCCAUGCUAUGCAUUUAAUUUUAUAUUUGUGAGUCCCUGGUCAAUGCCUGUAUCCUCCACUAGAUCCUAAGCUCCACCAGAAAGAAGACCAUGUCUAGUUUUACUCAUCUUUGUAUCCCUAGCACCUAGUUCAGGAUCUGGCAUGGAUUGUUUGAAAGAAUACAUACAUUAGAAGCUCCUGCUGUGAUGCAGCAGGUUAAGGAUCUGGCGUUGUCUCUGCAGUGGCUGAGGUUUUAACCCCAGCCAGGCCCAGGGGUUAAAAACCCAGCAUUAUUGCAGCUGUGGCACAGGUCGCAGCUGUGGCUCAGAUUCUAUCCAUCGCCCAGGAACUUCCAUAAGCCACGGGGGGCGGGGGGUAGUUCCCAUAGUGGCUCAGUGGUUAACGAACCUGACUAGUGUCCAUGAGGACAUGGGUUCGAUUCCUGGCCUUGCUCAGUGGGUUAAGGAUCCAGUGCGGCCGUGAUCUGUGGUAUAGGUCGCAGACAAGACUCAGAUCUGGCCUUGCUGUGGCUGUGGCCUAGGCUGGCAGCUACAGCUCCAAUUAGACACCUAGCCUGAGAACCUCUGUAUGCUGCAGGUGUGGCCCUAAAAAGACAAAAUAAUAAUACUAAUAAUAGCACAUGAAUUGGCUAGCCCUAUUAAGCUUUACUGCCCCUGAGACUACAAUUUUAGCCUAGAAACAAGCACCAUUUGGAUGUAAGGAACUAGUUUGGCGAUAACAAAGCAGUGUUUCUCAAAGUGUGAAUAAUUUGCUUGGAAAAUGCAGAUUCCCACGCCUCACACCCAGAGAUAUAAUUUGAUAGGUACAGGAUAAGGUCUAGAAAUUUGCAUGCCUAGCAAGUCUUCCAAGUGAUUUUAGAACCACUGGUAAGAAAGGAAGGAAGGAAAGAAAGGAAAGGAGAGGAAGAAACGAAUUCACUACCUUUUAGCAAACCCUCCCCGAGUAGCGGCAGGGCUCUCUUUCAAGUCCUGGUUUCUGAACUCACUGUCAGGCUUGGUGCUUCCAAGACAGCUUCCUAGAAUGAAGGCCAUGAUUAGGAAGAGACGAGCUUUGCUAGUACCCUGUUGGGCAAUGUCCCUGGUUACAACCACCGGACACCUGGGAGGGCUAGGCCUUGGGUUAAGGGGAAGGGGUGAAGGAACUGGAAUUUUCUGGAUGAAUUAUUGUCACCACCUAAAGAGAGAAAUAGCAGCUCAAGCCCAAGGUCUCAUUCAUUAUUUAUUUAUUCAAGUAAAUUCUACCAAAUACUAACUGUAUUUCAGGUACUAUGUUAUCCCGAAACUAUAAUGGUACAGGGGAAAAAGAAAGUUAAAAAGAUACUCCUUCCUGGUGAUAUAGACAUCAAUGGAACAAUUUUAUAAACAUAUGCAAAAUUACAAUUACCUAAGCUCUAGGAGUUCCUAUUGUGAGUCGGCGAUAAUGAACCCAACUAGUAACCACGAGGACGUGGGUUUGACCCCUGGCCUUGCUCAGUGGGUUAAGCAUAUGGCAUUGCUGUGGCUGUGGUGUAGGCCAGCAGCUAGAGCUCCCAUUCAACCCCUAGCCUGGGAACUUCCACAUGCCAUGGGUGUGGCCCUAACAAGACCGGAAAAAAAAAAAAAUAAAAAAUCAAAAACCAAAACCAAAACCAAAACCAAAGAAACCAAUUCUCUUAAGCUCUACAAAAUAGAAGAAAUGAAACACAUGAUGGGGGAACUAAUCAAAUCACAGAGAUCAGGGAAAUAAUGACUGAAUUAGGAUAGGAAAACAAUGUAAGAUUUUUGAUCAAAAACUACCUACCUCAAAAAUAAGUUUAUUGAACUAUACCUCUUAGUAGAUGUAUGAAGCUUUAAAAACAUUUAAAAUUACAUCAUGGAUCACUAGAUGACUAUUAUUUUUCAGUAAAUUAUUUAUUGCUGCUAGAGUUCAUCACCAAUUCUAUUUCCAUUUUUUGUUAUUAUAGGUAAGAAACUUUUUACACAAAUAAAUGAAUGAAUGAAGUUUUGCCAAAUCUUUGACACAAUUUUUCAACAGCCUUAAAAUUUGUUAAAUGAUUAGAAAUCAUAUCGUUUGCAAAAGGAUGUGUUACUCAUUUGAGCGAUCACUUGCUCAAUCUCAAGCGAUCCCAAAAAACAUCACCAAGUGACAAUUAAUUGUUCUUAUUACUCUUUCACUUAGAAGCAUUAUGGUUUUGGAGCUAAACACUCCUUAAAAAUGUGUGUGUUUCAUGAUUUUUCUUGUUGAUUGUGAACAAAGACCUAUCUUAAUUAUUUAGGUCAUGUUAACAUGCUGUAAAAAGACACUACAGAUGGGCAGAAAUUGGCAUAAUAAAUAUAUACAGGAUUGUAAUUUCAAGAUUAAAACAAGUUUAAAAUUACACGUGACAGAAUUAAAAGAAAAUGUCACCCUCUGAGAUGGAGAUAUUAAUUCCACUUAAAUGAAAUGGUUUCCUAAAGUUCAGGGCAUUAUACCUUAGAUUUAUAUUUUGAGAACACUUUUGUCUUACCAGGUACAUAAGUAGAUACUUUUUUUUUUUUUUUUUUUUUNNNNNNNNNNNNUUUUUUUUGUCUUUGCCAUUUCUUGGGUCACUCCCACAGCAUGUGGAGGUUCCCAGGCUAGGGCGGCCCAAGAAAUGGCAAAAAGACAAAAAAAAAAAGAAAAAAAAAAAAGAAUUACCAAGAAAGUUGUUUCUUUGCAUGCUAAUUUGUUUUUUAGGAAGGUCAAGUGCUGGUGAGAUGUAGGAUAGAGUGUGUAUAGAUGUGUUGAGAGGGGGUAUCAAAUAGUCAGGAUGCGGAAGGUCCUUGUUAUUUCAAGUGUGGUCCAGGGUCUCGCAAAAUCAGAAUCCCCUGGGAGCUGAUCAGAAAUGCAGAAUCUCAGUCCUCACCUAGACCUACAGGGUUAUAAUCUGCAUUCUGACAAAUUUUUUAGAUGACAGCUAUCACCUUAAAGUGAUUACUUAAAGUAAUCACAUUAAAGUCUGAGACGCACUAGGCUAGGUCAUGUUAUGGUAUAGAAUAAUCAUAAAAUCUGUAUCUUAAAACAACAGAGAUGUAUUUCUUACUCAUGCUGAAAGUCCAGCUGGGAGGAAGAAGGUGGCAAGUAGGUGACUCUGCUCCAUUAUCCUCACCUGGGCCCCAGCCUGGUGGUGCCUCCACCAUCUGAACAUCACCAGUUGGGUGACAGGGGAAGCUAAGGUGCAGCUCUCGUGCUUCUCUCACACUUCCUUGGUCAAAGCAAAUCCCAUGGCCUCCAACCUUCGAGGAGUUGGGAGGAACAAUUCUGCCAUGUCUCUGGAAGGCGGGGAAUCAAAAUAUUGGUGAAGCCGGAUGCCAGAGAAAGGGAGGCCUCUCAAAGGUUAUCACAAUACACAUGUAAAAUGAUCAGAUACUGGGAAAGUAUAGUGUCAAUUGUCAGGGAAAAGGACAGCAUGACCAACACCAACAAAAACAUUUCAGAAUAAUUAUUCUUUUUGGUGGGGGCACACCUGUGGCAUAUGGAAGUUCCCGGGCUAGGAGCAGAAUCGGAGCUGCAGUGCUGGCCUAGGAUGGCCACACUGCAAUGUGGCCACAGCCACAGCCACGCCAGAUCAGAGCUGCAUCUGUGACCUAGGAUGCAGCUUGUGGCAACCCUGGAUCCUUAACACACUGAGCAGGGCCAGGGAUCAAAGCCACACCCUUACAGAGUCUAUAUCAGGUUCUUAACCUGCUGAGUGACAACAGGAACUCCCAGAAUAAUUAUUCUAAAGAGGUAGUCAAGGAAGACUCUCAGCUUCACAGUCUAAUUGACUGGGUAGAAAAGAAACAUAACGGAAGCAUUGGUUGCAGUGGGGAAUGGAAAGGCUAGGUUUGGAAUGGACACGCUAAAUCAGAAAUUAAGGUGGGUAUUCACCCUCUAUCUUUCCAACCUCAUCUUGUAACACCCCCCUACCCUCCAGCCACAGUGACCUUUCCAUUCCUUCAUAUGCCAAACUUGUUCUCACCUUAGGGCUGUUGUUUCUCCAGUUUCUUCUGGAAUGCUUUUCUCUGGGCCCAUCAUGAGCUCCUGUCUGUCACUCAGACCUUACCCGUUUCAUUUCCUCAAAGGCCUUUCCUGGCCACGCAAAUGUAGCCACCCAAUCACACAUUAUCACACCUCCCUACUUCAGUUACCAGCACAGUACCUACAGCCAACCAAUAUUUUAACAGGUCUGUCCCUCUCCUCCCAUUAAAAAGUAAGCCCCAUGAGAGCGUGAACUCUUGUCCAUCCUCUGUCACCAGCUUCAAGUAAAGUGCCAGGUAGAGCUGGUACUCAAUAAAUAUUUACUGAAUGUUCCCACGAUAAUUUCACUUAAAAGGUAUGCAAUUAUAGGAGACCUGUUGUGGCUCAGCACGUUAAAAAUCCGACAUAGACUCCGUGAGGAUGCGGCUUUGAUCCAUGGCCUUGCUCAGAGGGUUAAGGAUGCCGUGUUGCUGCAAGCUGCGUCGUAGGUCACAGAUGUGGCUUGGAUCUAGUGUUGCUGGAGGAUGGCAGCUGCAGCUCCAAUUCAACCCCAGCGCAGGAACUUCCAUAUGCCACAGUACAGCCAUAAAAAGCGGGGGGGGGGGGAGGUAGGCAAUAACGUAUAAAUAGGGUUCCAAUAAGGAAAACAGAUUUGCAAUAGUGGGAAGUUCUCUAAAAAUUGAAGCAGAACAAGAAAUAUUUAGGAGUGUUCCCCCUCCGCGGGGGUAGAGGAGUGUAGGAAGACUUUCAGAGUAGAACAGAGUGGUUCCUGCCUGAAGUUAGGAAAGUUUCAGGGAGGGAUGGGUCAGUGAGAGGCAAGUGUGGGAAUAAGAAAUAAACCAUUGGAUUUGGAAAGGUUGUUUGUGAUCAGUGCACAAAGGAAUAAAAACAUAGGGCUUGAGGAAAGAAAGGACUUA